UUAGUGUUGAUAGUUUAGGGUUUAGUGUUGAUGGUUUCGGGUUUAGAGUUGAAGUUUAGGGUUUAGGGUUUAGAGUUGAUGUUUUAGGGUUUAGAGUUGAAGGUUUUGGGUUUAGAGUUGAUGUUUCGGGGUUUAGGGUUUAGAAUUGAUGUUUAAGGGUUUAGGGUUCGUAUUUAAAAAAAAUAUAGGGUUUAGCAUUGAUGAUUUAGGGUUUAGAGUUGAGUUUUAGGGUUUAGGGUUUGAAUUUCGAAAGAGUAUAAUUCGAAAAAAAAUUGAAAAAAUAAUUUUUUUAUUUUUUUAGAUUUUUAUUUAUUUAAAUAGUUAUUUAUUAUAUAUAUA
rnacentral:lncRNA from 1 species